UGAGAUAUAAGACACUUCAUUUAAUUAUAUGAAAUGCUUUUGUUUUGUUUUCCUGUGUGCUUGUAUGUUUUGUCAAAUGUUCUAUUUUUUUUAACAUUCGCUCAGUCGUUUUGUACUACAAUUCUAAGCGAAAAAAUUGUAUAAGUUUUGAUUGAUACACAAUAAAGAUAUGAAGGGGAAAAAUUAGUAAAAUACAAGUACGUUAACCCCCAGUAAAUAGAAAUACUUGUAAAAUAAAAACUAAAAACAGUGCUACAUGCUGGACAAGAAAGGUUCCUGUACUUUCAUAAAGUACCACCUUCCUCCUGAGCAGGGACGUUGUGGGGGUGAAAUGAGUCCCCCCCCGGAACUUUAAUUGAGAUCCUGUUCCCUGUGGUGGAAACGCAUGGAGUCAAAGGUUCCUAGUUCCUGUGGAAAGUUGUAGUCAUCACUCCGGCCAAGCAUUUAAGCCCCUUCUCUAUUGUUGAUGAAACAACCCCCCAAGUAGCUUUGGGGGCGUGUCGUUCAAUCAGCUGAUCUUGUGACGCACCUGCACUUGGCGCGGGAGAGGAGCGUCAGAGCGAGCGCGCCAAUUACCUGUUGUUGUUGUUGUGGUGGUGGUGGUUAGCAUCUGGAGGAAGCUAGAGAUCCACGUCACUAUGACGAGACGCGAAGUCCGAGGAUACAAGAAGCUUUUUGAAAAGAGAGAGGGUGAAGAGUCGACAAGUGGCGCAGCUGGAGCUAAAGGAGGAGGAGGAGGAGGAAGAAGAGGAAGAGGAGGAGAAGGAGGAAGAGGAGGAGGAAGAGGAAGAGAAGGAGGAGGAAGAGGAGGAGGAAGAGAAGGAAGGAAGGAGGAGGAGGAGGAGGAGGAGGAGGAGGAGGAGGAGGAGGAGGAGGAGGAAGAGAAGGAGGAGGAAGAGGAGGAAAAGGAGGAGGAGGAAGAAGAGGAGGAGGAGUUUUCUCCUGUCGGCGAAGCAGCAGGUUGGACGGCGUGGGCUACUCAACUGUCUUCAAUUGUAUCAACACAUGAGGGGUAUUGCCGCAAUUCAAAGGGAAGACAGUGUCCUGUCAAGUGAACAUGAAAAGGCGGCGGGAAGGAGGACAGGUACAGCAGCAAUACCUCUCUUUACAAGCAAUCCUCUUGCAUUAUGCAUCUGAGAGGGUGUUUCAUUUGUCACAAAGCCUCGCUAUGUACGAUGAGGACCAGUCUUCUCUGAUUGAAUUUCACGGAGCAGCUGCGAACUUGGAUUUUACCGAAACCACAUUUCAAUAAUGCAGUUUCUUCGGGAGGUCUUGGCAUAACGCAUUCUCUGCUCUCCGCUGUGCGUGGAGAGUGAAAGUUGUUAUAAGAAUAUUAAAUCAAAAGAGUUAUAAAGGAGGAAUCAUCCAUUAUUCAUUUCGAACAGAGACAGGGAGCUGGAAAAAAAAGGCAAAGUCUGCAUAUGUCAGCGAUAAAAAGCAUUAGGAUGCUGCUUAUGUGGCUGUGUCGAGUGUAAGGUGAGACAAUAAGGUUUUUUGAGAUAUUACAAAAAAAUUGCUCCUGUUCUGUAGGAGCAAAGUUGAUCCUUUUCUUUCAAGUAACAGAAAAAAGCAUACGACUUAAUAACCUGUGAGGUAAAUUACAUUCAGCAAUUACAAGAGUUUGACUUCCUGCCCACUUUUUAUACACUGGAGCUGAAAAAUUGCCACUUAAUUGCACAAAGGUGACAUCUAAUUUUCUUUGUACUGUUUUUGCACUUCAUUUUUUUUUACUCUUAAGCUUAAAAGAGGCCUUAAAUGGUAAAUUUAAUAAAUAACAACAGGUUUAAUAUUCUCUCGUCUGAUUGUUUCUGCCCUCAAAUUAUCUACAGAGUAUGGCGUCUAAACGUAGGAUGAAUGAAUCUUUAAAACGUUGCAGGUCAGAAUAUCACCA
rnacentral:lncRNA from 1 species